rnacentral:rRNA from 1 species
CGGGGCUCAUCGCUUCGGUGGUGGGUUCAGUGGCGAACGGGUGAGUAACACGUGGGCAACCUGCCCCCGGCUCUGGGAUAACUCCAAGAAAUUGGGGCUAAUACCGGAUGUGACCGCUGGCCGCAUGGUCUGGUGGUGGAAAGGGUUUCCGGCUGGGGAUGGGCCCGCGGCCUAUCAGCUUGUUGGUGGGGUAGUGGCCUACCAAGGCGACGACGGGUAGCCGGCCUGAGAGGGUGACCGGCCACACUGGGACUGAGACACGGCCCAGACUCCUACGGGAGGCAGCAGUGGGGAAUAUUGCGCAAUGGGCGGAAGCCUGACGCAGCGACGCCGCGUGGGGGAUGACGGCCUUCGGGUUGUAAACCUCUUUCAGCAGGGACGAAGCGGAAGUGACGGUACCUGCAGAAGAAGCACCGGCCAACUACGUGCCAGCAGCCGCGGUAAUACGUAGGGUGCAAGCGUUGUCCGGAAUUAUUGGGCGUAAAGAGCUCGUAGGCGGUUGGUCGCGUCGGCUGUGAAAACCCGGAGCUCAACUCCGGGCCUGCAGUCGAUACGGGCCGACUCGAGUGGUGCAGGGGAGACUGGAAUUCCUGGUGUAGCGGUGAAAUGCGCAGAUAUCAGGAGGAACACCGGUGGCGAAGGCGGGUCUCUGGGCACCAACUGACGCUGAGGAGCGAAAGCGUGGGGAGCGAACAGGAUUAGAUACCCUGGUAGUCCACGCCGUAAACGUUGGGCGCUAGGUGU